GCCGGGGGAGGCCGCGGGGUCAGAGGGGAGGGUGGGAAGGCUUUGCGUGGUGCACACGGCGCUGGCUGUCACCUGGCGCAGGGCUGCAGAUGGUACCCCAGGUAGACCUUCCCUCCCCACGCUGCGGGACAGCCCCGGCUGGUCGGUGAGCAUCGUUAUCCCUCAGUAGGUCGGGCGGAGCGGAGAGUGGAGUCCCGGAGGUGCUUGCCUGGGGCCAGUGCUCCGAGCAGAGUAGAGUCCAAACCCCCAAGAAGAAGCUUUAGAAUAAAGAAUGAAGACUGUCUGUACCAUUUUGAUUACCUCUUCUAGGGUUCAAAGAGAGAAUCAUUCCCCCUGGCCUUCAUUUGCUAAUGGCUCAGCUUGAUCUAACUGGUAUACAGAUAAACUUGCUGUUAAACAAAAAGUCCGGUAGGAAGAACCAUCUCAAUGUCCAAAAUUCCUUUGCCCCUGCUGGUAUUGGUGGCUCUCUGUAACCAUCUAAAAGCUGAACUACGCAAAGUCACGAGAGCUAUUCACAAGAAGCUUGUGUGUGAAUGGACAAUGCUGCCAUCUUCUUGAGAGAUGAGACGAAGGACCCUUCACAAUGACAGCUCCGCAAGUUCCAAAUAUGAGAGUCGUGCAUACGGAGUUUCAUGCUUUGUCUCCAGAGUGAUCUUCGUUCUUGUUAAGCUAAUUUCACCUCUUGUCACAAGUUUUGCUUUUGGGAUUUAGACCAUCAUUAGCCACGGAACUCCUGUGUAAAUCACUGUUUUCUUUCUCUUCCCCCCACCCACCCCUGCCCCCCCGCCCCGAUUUUACACAAAGACUGUUAAUAGGACUGUUAGUGGAAUAAGCAAAGCCAAUAUUCACAGGGUUUAACUUUGCACCAAUAGCACCUUUUGCCCCAGAAUGCCUUACAAACGCCAUACAGCACGCAUGUCCCAGUGCACAACUUGUCAUGAGAUUUCUGUUCACUUAGGCACCACCUUAGUGUUCCAAGCUGACUUUUAGGGACAUUUCAGCACAUAGCAUCUCAUACCGUAAGUCACACGCCACCCAGAGGUGCCUUUGAGGUCUGGGAGCUUUCUACGUGAAUGUAUUCAGAGCUAAAGAGACCAUGCAUGCAUCCUGCGAGUUGAUGCCGUCCACCUAACGGGACCAUCCUGAAGUGACUGAGGGAAUGGCAGAAGGAGGGCACGCAGGCGCUCCUCCUGUCCGGCUGUGGGUGCGACGCGUAGGUGUUUACUGCGAUGAGCACCGCAAAACGUGGCUUGUGGCUGCGGAAGAGGCAAGUGUCCUUUGAGCUUCCCAGUGAUUGUAGCUUUGCUGUUGCAGGUGCCUCUACUGAAUUGCCAGUAACUGCCUGCUCUUUUUGUUACUUUCCCCCAGGAGGAAGGUAUGCUGAGGGCUCGGAUCCAAAGAGUUCAGGUUCCCCUGGGUGAGGCGCUGCGACCCAGCCAGCUCCCCCCAUCCCGGCUGCCUCAUAUGUGGCAGCUGUCCCAGGGUGAGCAGUACAGGGAUAGUAACUCUCGCGUUUGGGAGAUAGAGCACCAUCUCAUGGUAAGGAUGGUGGCAACAAUAGACCAUAGUCAUGCCUGUUUGUGAAGUCAUUUGAGAUCCUUGAGGGACGGCAAAGGACUGUUAUUUUGUUGAAGUCCAUUAGCUCAGCCGCAGUAACUGUAGACGUAUUGAACUUUUCCUUGUCGCUUACAGCUUGGUGGUGUUGAAGAACUGCUGCUUAAACUCGUGCCUGGUGAUUAAUCUGGAGCAGUGGCUCUAGGAAGAUGUCGUUGUAUAUUUUGUACAAUAAAUGAUUCUUUCUCCACUGAAAUGCAGCCACCUCUGAGGUGGAAGCAGUUAAA